rnacentral:rRNA from 1 species
AGCUCAAAUUUGAAAUCUGGCGUCCUCUGGGCGUCCGAGUUGUAAUUUGGAGGAGCGUCUUCGGGAGCGGCACCGUCCUAAGUUCUUUGGAACAGGACGUCACAGAGGGUGAGAAUCCCGUGCCUGGGCGGUUGACCGUUCCCAUGCGAAGUACUUCCGACGAGUCGAGUUGUUUGGGAAUGCAGCUCAAAAUGGGUGGUAAAUUUCAUCUAAAGCUAAAUAUUGGCGAGAGACCGAUAGCGCACAAGUAGAGUGAUCGAAAGAUGAAAAGCACUUUGAAAAGAGAGUUAAAAAGUACGUGAAAUUGUUGAAAGGGAAGCGCUUGAGAUCAAACUCGGCCUUUGGUGAUCCGCUGGGCUUCUGUCCGGUGAAACUUUGCCAUUGGCCGGGCCAGCAUCGGUUCUGACGGUGGGAAAAACGGCCGGGGAAUGUGGCUCCUCUCGGGGAGUGUUAUAGACCUGGCCUUUGAUACCGCCAGUUGGGACCGAGGACCGCGCUUCGGCUAGGAUGCUGGCGUAAUGGUCUUAAGCGACCCGUCUUGAAACACGGACCAAGGAGUCUAACAUCUAUGCGAGUGUUCGGGUGGAAAACCCUUGCGCGUAAUGAAAGURAACGGAGGUGGGAACCGCAAGGUGCACCAUCGACCGAUCCUGAUGUCUUCGGAAGGAUUUGAGUAUGAGCAUAGCUGUUGGGACCCGA